UACCACCUUAGGCACGGCCGAUCUCGUCUGAUCUCGGAAGCUAAGCAGGGUCGGGCCUGGUUAGUACUUGGAUGGGUGACCGCCUGGGAAUACCAAUCC
rnacentral:rRNA from 10 species